rnacentral:lncRNA from 1 species
GUUUGACCACUUCCAGAAACUCCAUUUACAACAAAGAUGGCUAAAUGAACACACAAGAUGAUCUUUCUCAAGACCUUGACACUGUAGAAUCGGAUAUGGGAAGACCAGGACUUCAAGCCCAGCCUUGCCUUAACAGUGAGUUUGAGGUCAACAGGAAGAGGAGCUGACCAAGAGUCGAGAUUCUAUUGGCCCCCUGAAUGUUGGUGUCAGUCGAGGGCCUAGAAGUCUAUGGGGCCUCUGGCAGUGGAACCAGUAUUUCCCCUACUACACAAAUGGACUUUGGGAGCCCAUUCGCUACGAAGGAACACUUUCUCAGCCUAGAUACAAUGGAAUAGCCUACGUCCUGGCCCUAAAGAUGUAACAGAUAUUGAUGAUCCGCUAUGGGCGGACUCACCUUCCAUGAGGAAUGGAUGGGGAGAUUGAUACACCCAUAGACACAAGAGGAGGACUUCACCCACCGUAUC